rnacentral:rRNA from 1 species
GGUUUGAUUCUGGCUCAGAUUGAACGCUGGCGGGAUGCUACAUGCAAGUCAGACGGCAGCACGGACUUCGGUCUGGUGGCGAAAGUGGCGAACAGGUGAGUAAUGUAUCGGAACGUGCCUAGUAGCGGGGAUAACUUGCGGCGUACAGCUAUUACCGCAUACACCCUUCGGGGAAAGCGGGGGGACCUUCCGGGCCUCGCACUAUUAAGAGACGACCGGAUAUGGAUUAAGCUAGUUGGUGGGGCAACGGCUCACCAAGGCGACGAUCCGUAGCUGGUUUGAGAGGACGACCAGCCACACUGGGACUGAGACACGGCCCAGACUCCUACGGGAGGCAGCAGUGGAGAAUUUUUGGACAAUGGGAAACCUGAUCCAGCUGCAUCCCGCGUGUGCGAUGAAGGCCUUCGGGUUGUAAAGCACUGGCGGAAAGAAACGGCACGGGAUAAUACCCGGCGACUGAGCGGUACCUGCAGAAUAAGCACCGGCUAACUACGUGCCAGCAGCCGCGGUAAUACGUAGGGUGCAAGCGUUAAUCGGAAUUACUGGGCGUAAAGCGUGCUGAAGACGGUUCGGAAAGAAAGAUGUGAAAUCCCAGAGCUUAGCUGGUUUCAUUUUUAACUACCGAGCCUAGAGUGUGUCAGGAGGGAGAGUGGAAUUCCGUGAUAACGAAAUGCGUAGAUGCAGCUGCGGAGGAACACCGAUGGCGAAGGCAGCCUCCUGGGAUAACACUGACGCUCAUGCACGAAACGUGGGGAGCAAACAGGAUUAGAUACCCUGGUAGUCCACGCCCUAAACGAUAUCAACUAGCUGUUGGGGCCUUCGGGACGCUGAUGAGCACAGCUAACGCGUGGUUGACCGCCUGGGGAAGUACGAUAUAGAUUAAAACUCAAGGAAUUGACGGGGACCCGCACAAGCGGUGGAUGAUGUGGAUUAAUUCGAUGCAACGCGAAAACCUUACCUACCCUUGACAUGUCUGGAAUCCAGAGAGAGAUUUGGGAGUGCUUCCGCAAGAGAACCGGAACACAGGUGCUGCAUGGCUGUCGUCAGCUCGUGUCGUGAGAUGUUGGGUUAAGUCCGCAACGAGCGCAACCCUUGUCAUUUCGGAUUGCUACAGGAACUCUAAUGAGACUGCCGGUGACAAACCGGAGGAAGGUGGGGAUGACGUCAGGUCUCAUGGCCCAUAUGGGUAGGGCUUCACACGUCAUACAAUGGUCGGGACAGAGGGUCGCCAACCCGCUGAGGGAGCCAAUCCCAGGAACUUGAUCGUAGUCCGGAUGCGAUCCAACUCGACUGCGUGAAGUCGGAAUCGCUAGUAAUCGCGGAUCAGCAUGUCGCGGUGAAUACGUUCCCGGGUCUUGUACACACCGCCCGUCACGCCAUGUAGAGUGGGUUUUACCAGAAGUAGUUAGCCUAACCGUAAGGGCGAUUACCACGGUAGGAUUCAUGACUGGGGUGAAGUCGUAACAAGGGCAA